CUUACCAAGGCGGUGGCCGGCCUGGCGGCCGACGCUGCCCAAACAUUGAAUCAGGGUGUGAAUGGUAGCCGGGCUGGUGGGUGCCCGCGGGCCGGGCAGCUGCUCCAGUAGGUGGUCAGCGAGCUCGACGAAGAGGACAAAUACUAACAGUACCCAGCCCUGGGGACCUGGGUACCUGUGGCUGCAGGUGGGAGCUCCGAGAGGACAGUCUUGAGGCCAAUGCCAGCGAUGUCUCGUAGCUGCUCCUUGUCCGACCGCAUGUUGGCACACAGGGUGUCCACGAUGGUCUCCACCUGGUACUCCUUCACUUUACCCACCAGAGGACCCAGGCUGAGCAGAGAAUGGGGAGAUGGAGUUUUCACUCUUGUUGCCCAGGCUGGAAUGCAAUGGUAUAACCUUGGCUCACUGCAAUCUCUGCCUCCUGAGUUCAAGCGAUUCUCCUGCCUCUCAGCCUCCCAAGUAGCUGGGAUUACAAGUAUGCACCACCACACCCAGCUAAUUUUUGUAGGCUGACACUCACCACUUGACAGCCAGGUUCUGCACCUCACCGUUCUUGUCCUCCAGGAGCCGGAGCAGCAUCUUCACUACCUUGCGCUCACUGUCCUCGUCCAGCUGAAUGGAG